AAUGAACGUUGGCGGCGUGGAUUAGGCAUGCAAGUCGAGCGAGAACCCGCAAGGGGGACAGCGGCGAACGGGGUAGGAAUACGUAGGUAACGUACCCUCGGGGCGAGGACAGCCACGGGGAAACUGUGGUUAAUACUCGAUAAACUUCCCAAUCAUUAUGGAAGGGGAAGCAAUGGGUGUGAUUCCACCUGAGGAGCGGCUUACGCAGUAUCAGCUAGUUGGUGAGGUAACGCUCACCAAGGCUACGACGCUUAGGGGGUGUGAGAGCAUGGCCCCCACCACUGGCACUGAGACACUGGCCAGACACCUACGGGUGGCUGCAGUCGAGAAUCUUCGGCAAUGGACGCAAGUCUGACCGAGCGACGCCGCGUGUGGGAUGAAGGCCUUCGGGUUGUAAACUGCUUUUAUAGGUGAAGAUUAUGACGGUAACCUAU
rnacentral:rRNA from 1 species